rnacentral:tRNA from 1 species
GUUUUAAUAGUUUAAACAAAAACUUUGGUCUUGUAAACCAAUAAUGAAUUAAUUUUUCUUAAAACU